CAGUAGCCGCGGUAAUACGAAGGGGGCUAGCGUUGUUCGGAUUUACUGGGCGUAAAGCGCACGUAGGCGGACUUUUAAGUCAGGGGUGAAAUCCCGGGGCUCAACCCCGGAACUGCCUUUGAUACUGGGAGUCUUGAGUUCGAGAGAGGUGAGUGGAAUUGCGAGUGUAGAGGUGAAAUUCGUAGAUAUUCGCAGGAACACCAGUGGCGAAGGCGGCUCACUGGCUCGAUACUGACGCUGAGGUGCGAAAGCGUGGGGAGCAAACAGGAUUAGAUACCCGUGUAGUCCCUGUCUCUUAUAA
rnacentral:rRNA from 1 species